UCUGGUUGAUCCUGCCAGUAAGCAUAUGCUCGUCUCAAAGACUAAGCCAUGCAUGUCCCGAGUUCAUACAUUGCCAUUGUGAGACUGCGGAAGGCUCAGUAUAUCAGUUAUAAUCUGUUUGAUUGUACGUCCCAAUGGAUAACCGUGGGAAAUCUAGAGCUAAUACAUGCAACCUACUGGCGUGGGGCCUGCCUCAAACCGGGCUCCGCCCAGGGCAUUUAUUAGAUGAAAACCAACUGCGGUGCGGGCAACCGUACUGCAAGGUGAAUCUGGAUAACUUUGCCGAUCGUAUGGCCUUGUGCCGGCGACGUUUCAAUUGAAUUUCUGCCCUAUCAACUUGUUGGUAAGGUAGUGGCUUACCAAGGUGACAACGGGUAACGGGGAAUCAGGGUUCGAUUCCGGAGAGGGAGCCUGAGAAAUGGCUACCACAUCCAAGGGAGGCAGCAGGCGCGCAAAUUACCCAAUCCAGACACUGGGAGGUGGUGACGAGAAAUACUGGCUGGCAUCCCAUAAGGAUUGCUAUGCCGGAAUGGACGUAAUUUAAGAAAUUCGAUGAGCAACAACUGGAGGGCAAGUCUGGUGCCAGCAGCCGCGGUAAUUCCAGCUCCAGUAGUGUAUCUUAAAGUUGCUGCGUUUAAAACGCUCGUAGUUGGAUCACGCAGCGUCAGUUGGUUGACCGACAGAGUGUCGCGCAAAAGCCGACUGGCGUUCGCCGCUGCGCAGUCAAACUGUUGUGGUGGUGGGCGUCGGUUCGGUGUGGCGCCUGUCGGUUUUGAGCCAGCUGGCGUUACUUACGCGUGAGGAUGGUGGCUGACCUUUAGUGCGUCGGCCAUUGUGUCUCACGGGGUGUGCCUUGAAUAAAUCAAAGUGCUCCAAGCAGGCUUACGCUUGAAUGUUAAUAGCAUGGAACGAACAACUGUGUUUUUGCGCCGCGACUGGCUACCUGCAUGGGCUAUGUCUGUGUGGGAUGGUCGGAUGUGGUGCAGCACCAACCUUCAAUGCCGGAUGUUGGUUUCCGCGUUGGGGUGAUGAUUAAGAGGAGCGGUUGGGGGCAUUGGUAUUUGGCCGCGAGAGGUGAAAUUCUUGGACCGGCCAAGGACUAACAAAUGCGAAAGCAUCUGUCAAGACCGUUUCCAUUGAUCAAGAACGAUAGUGAGAGGUUCGAAGACGAUCAGAUACCGUCCUAGUUCUCACUGUAAACUAUGCCGACCCGGGAUCAGUUUUGAGCCCUAUAACGCUCGUGGUUGGUCCCCCUGGGAAACCUCAAGUUUUUAGGUUACGGGGGGAGUAUGGUUGCAAGGCUGAAACUUAAAGGAAUUGACGGAAGGGCACCACCAGGGGUGGAGCCUGCGGCUUAAUUUGACUCAACACGGGAAAACUCACUCGGUCCGAACAUCGAGAGGAUUGUCAGGCUAAUAGCCCUUAUUCAUGAUACGGUGGUUGGUGGUGCAUGGCCGUUCUUAGUUCGUGGAGUGAUCUGUCUUGGUUUAUUCCGGUAACGAACGAGACCAUGGUCUUCAUUUGUGGAGCUGGAGAAGGUCGUGCUGACCACGGUGCUGCGCGAGUGGUGUCGUGGCCUGUGCGGCUGUUGGCGGGGCUCAGAUGGGGUCUCUCAUUGCCGUUGGCCUGAGGUGUAGUUGUAUGACACUAAGGGUCAGCGGUGGUGGGUGGUUCCACCGGGGUUUCUCCUCCAGUGAGACAGCGUUCGGUUAACUCCGGGUGUUGUGCCAUGGAGAGACAACUGGGUAUUCGAAAGCCAGAGGAAGUCAUGGCAAUAACAGGUCUGUGAUGCCCUUAGAUGUUCGAGGCCGCACGCGCGCUACAAUGAUAACAACAGCGAGUAUCUGGGUCGAGAGACUUGGGAAAUCUUUCAAUUGUUAUCGUGAUGGGGAUUGACCGUUGUAAUUGUCGGUCAUGAACUAGGAAUCCCUAGUAUGUGCAAUUCAUUAGAUUGUGCAGAUUAAGUCCCUGCCCUUUGUACACACCGCCCGUCGCUACUACCGAGUGAAUGGUGUCAUGAUGCAUUGGGACCGGACGCGACCUAUGGUUUCGGUCACUGGUUGUGCUGGGAUCAAUGUAAAAUGGCGCAAUUUCGAGGAAGUAAAAGUCGUAACAAGGUUUCCGUAGGUGAACCUGCGGAAG
rnacentral:rRNA from 1 species